rnacentral:sRNA from 1 species
GCUGGUUUCUUCUUCUUCUUU